AGCACGGGGGCAACCCUGGUGGCGAGUGGCGAACGGGUGAGUAACACAUCGGAACGUAUCCUGUAGCGGGGGAUAACUUCUCGAAAGAGAAGCUAAUACCGCAUACGACCUACGGGUGAAAGAGGGGGAUCGCAAGACCUCUCACUAUAGGAGCGGCCGAUGUCGGAUUAGCUAGUUGGUGGGGUAACGGCCCACCAAGGCUACGAUCCGUAGCUGGUCUGAGAGGACGACCAGCCACACUGGAACUGAGACACGGUCCAGACUCCUACGGGAGGCAGCAGUGGGGAAUUUUGGACAAUGGGCGCAAGCCUGAUCCAGCCAUGCCGCGUGGGUGAAGAAGGCCUUCGGGUUGUAAAGCCCUUUCGGCUGGGACGAAAAGGUCCGAGUUAAUACCUCGGAUCCAUGACGGUACCAGCAGAAGAAGCACCGGCUAACUACGUGCCAGCAGCCGCGGUAAUACGUAGGGUGCAGGCGUUAAUCGGAAUUACUGGGCGUAAAGCGUGCGCAGGCGGUCUGCUAAGAGAGGUGUGAAAUCCCCGGGCUUAACCUGGGAACUGCGCUUCUAACUGGCAGGCUUGAGUGUGGCAGAGGGGGGUGGAAUUCCACGUGUAGCAGUGAAAUGCGUAGAGAUGUGGAGGAACACCGAUGGCGAAGGCAGCCCCCUGGGCUAACACUGACGCUCAUGCACGAAAGCGUGGGGAGCAAACAGGAUUAGAUACCCUGGUAGUCCACGCCCUAAACUAUGUCAACUGG
rnacentral:rRNA from 1 species